rnacentral:lncRNA from 1 species
CGAGGCAUGUUAUGCAACCUACAUCCUUCUCUGAAUUUCCUCAGUGCUGCCCCCGCCCUGGGACUCAGGAAGAAGGAAGGGAUUUUGUGGGUUUUGACUCCUCUGGGCCUCAGUCUUCCCAUCUGUCUAGUGGGGAGAGAAGCUUCGCACUUCCCCCUGCCGGGAGCACGCACAGCACGUGUGAACAUCAGGUCCCACGAGAACGGAUUCCGGGCCAACAUCCCCUCUUUGGAGAGCCUCGCUGACUCCCCGUGGACGGAAAUGCUCUGGGCUCCCCCAGGACCGCUGAGGCGCCGCUGUCCGUGCCUCUCAAGGGGGCUGUGUUUAUGGGGUUCCACCCUCCCCGAGCGGGAGAAGUGUCUCUCGUGGGUCUCGCUAGCAGCAUGCGGUGUGGGGCCUGGCCCUGAGCAGAUGCUUGGAGAUGGGAGAGUCUGGGGCAAGAGAGCCCCUUGAGGAAGCAGUGACAGUCCCUGUGCUCAGAGCAUCUGCGUUAAUGUGCUCCCCAGCCACAGCCCCCAUCCCUGUCUUUCCAGGAGCAUUUCUGUGAUUUCUCUCUUCUCCCCUUGCUCUCUGGAAGAGGCUGUAUACUUGUUAGCUGAGAUUCAAACGCCUGACUUUUGUUUAAGCUGUAUCCCUUCCCAAGGCUUUCAGUGUGACCACGUGGAGCCUCAGGCUGGUGCGGACCUGUGCGUGGAGAGGUGGGGAGGGCCUCGCCUGUCUUCUGCCAGAUCCAGGCCCCAGACUUCUGGGAUCCACGUGCUGCAGGCCAGCUAGUGUCGGGAAGAGGCAGGCUGGGGGCAGCCAGGGAGAAAAGGACUGUGUGUAGGAGAUGGAGAGCUGUCCCCAAGUGGCAGGGGCAGUGAAGGGGCC